GACGAACGCUGGCGGCGUGCUUAACACAUGCAAGUCGAACGGAAAGGCCCUGCUUGCAGGGUACUCGAGUGGCGAACGGGUGAGUAACACGUGGGUGAUCUGCCCUGCACUUCGGGAUAAGCUUGGGAAACUGGGUCUAAUACCGGAUAGGAGCCAUCUUUAGUGUGGUGGUUGGAAAGUUUUUUCGGUGUAGGAUGAGCUCGCGGCCUAUCAGCUUGUUGGUGGGGUAAUGGCCUACCAAGGCGGCGACGGGUAGCCGGCCUGAGAGGGUGUACGGCCACAUUGGGACUGAGAUACGGCCCAGACUCCUACGGGAGGCAGCAGUGGGGAAUAUUGCACAAUGGGCGCGAGCCUGAUGCAGCGACGCCGCGUGGGGGAUGAAGGCCUUCGGGUUGUAAACUCCUUUCGCUAGGGACGAAGCUUUUUUGUGACGGUACCUAGAUAAGAAGCACCGGCUAACUACGUG
rnacentral:rRNA from 1 species